UCUUUCUCUGUGACACCUCCGUUUUGAAAAAUGAAAACCCUGCGAUCACGUAAUCUCUGCCAUGGUCAUGUUUAACGUUUCGCUUCGUUACCCGCAAUCAAACUAAUUUUCUCUGUUUAACGUUCCGCUUCGUUACCCUAUGCCUAUGCGUAUGCCUAAUAGCCUUCUUUCUUUCCCCAUUUCCUAAAUUUCAUUUCAUCUAAUUCCUUCAAUCCGGCACCUUUUUGUUUUAUAUAUUGAAUUCAUUUUCAUCUCAUGGAAUUUUUUAUGUUAACCCUUAUUCUUUAACUUUCUUUUUCUUAGAGUGUCUUGAGACGCGUUGAUUUUUUGCCAUCUCUUGUUCUUAUGUGUCUUAAGUAGUGACUUGUUAGUGAUUAUCGUCUUAAUCUCAAUGAAUUGCCUUUUCGUGUUUCUAGCUAGUCAAACAAAAUGAACGUUAAAUCGGUCAUAAUCUGUAUUUUUUGGUAUGAAAAGUAUGAAGCUUGUUGGAAAAAGAAAACGAAAAAGAAAAAGAUUCAGAUCAAAUGGACCCAAUUGUUGAUGAAUCCAUGGAUCGUAUUUCGCUGUUUCCUGAUCACGUCAUCCAUCACAUUCUAUCUCACCUUCGUGAACAUUGCAAUCCGAACCAGUGUUUUGUCCAAGAGAUGGAGAGAAUUGUGGCAUUCUUUUUCUGUUUUGAUUUUCGAUGAAAGAAAGUUUGCUGCAAAAAUUGGACCUGAAGAUAGCAGUAAUAAGGAGAUGAUGUUUAGAAAUUAUGUAUCUAAUUCUCUACUUAUCCGCAAUGCAAAAAAAAUGCAAAUACGGAAAUCGGUGUUGCACAUGACCUCCUUUGACUUAUUAGAAGAUACCCCAUGUCUGGAACUUUGGCUAACUAUUGCUUUCUACAGAAACAUCAAAGAACUAGAUCUCCAUGUUGGCAUCAAGAAUGGUGAGUGCUAUACUUUACCACAAACUGUCUUGUCUUCCAAAACAUUGACUGGCAUAAGGUUAAGUGGUUGCAAACUGGGAACUUGCAAUAAUAUAAUGCUCCCUUAUCUUCAGAAGCUUUAUCUGCGCAAAAUUCCCUUGGUUGAGAACUUUAUUCAAAAUCUUAUUUCCAGCUGUCAUUCAAUUGAGGAUUUAAGAAUCAUAAAGUGCUCCGGUUUGAAGCAUUUGCAUGUUUCAAAUCUCAUUCGACUCAAAAGGGCAGAAAUCCACUACUGCUAUCAAUUGAAGAAGGUUGAGAUCAGUGCUCCAAAUCUUGACACAUUUUGGUAUUGUGGCAAGAAAACAAGUCCCUGCAAGGUUAGUUUGGAGGGGUGCACGUCUCUGAAAAGGUUGACACUGGAGCAUACCCAAGUGACUUGUGAUUUUUGUGAAAAUCAGUUCUCCAAUUUUCCCUUACUUGAAAAAGUGGGUUUAAGUAUGUCCAACAAUAAGAGUAGAAUCAUUAUUAUUUCAAAUCCUCAUCUUGAGAAGUUCACUUUAAAAGGAUGCAAGAAAUUGAGUGUUUUUUAGUAGAGGCUCCUAAUCUUGUUGAUAAUUGAUAUGCUUACGUAAUUUGAAUAUUUAAAUCACAUAGCAAUUAUCUAAUUUUUCUCUUUUUUAUUGUUUCUUUUGUGUUAAAACAUUAGGAAUUUAACUUCUUUUGAGUUUUUGUUCAAUAGAUGCUAAAGUUAACUAAUUUACAAUGUUUUGGAGUGUAUUUUUUUAUAGAAUUACACAGUAGGAGGCCUAGAAUAGGCAUUUUAAUUACUACUUGGACAAAUUGGUGUACUUGCCAAUCGAGCUAACACUUGUGUCUUUUGUGUGCAAGGGUGAGACUAUGCCCUGGGUUGAGAUUCACCCUUUCCGAUCGCCAAGCUUUCUUUUGUACCUAAAUCUGAACAUACAGUUGUUGGACAUGGCGACAAGAUUUGGAUUAGGAUGACACCAUUCAUUCAAAAGUUCAAUCAUCAAGGAUUUUAAAUUGGUUCUCUAUUCUAAUAAGAAUAUUGUUAUUCAUGAAGAUUUGAACAAUGUCACAUUGCCUCAAGUGCCUGACCUCGGCCGUGAAAUUAUCAAUUCAUCAGCAUGUAUUGAUGAUGCUCUGAAUAGUUUGUUAUGGAAAUUGCACCCAGUGACUCUAUCUAUAAUUUCUCCCACCGAAAGUAAAUUCCCAGAGAUAUGUUUGUUUGUUUGUUUUCUGUUUCCAAUUCAUACAUACAUUCAUGUUGAAUUUAAAUAUGUCAUCAAUGAUGAAGCAAGAUAUUAUCAACUGGAAAAAUGACAAUUGCAGCUAGUGUAUGAAAUGAUAAAGAACAAAGGCGAGGACCCAAUCUGUUGCAUAUAUAGUUCUUCCAAAAAUAAAUGUUGGCGGCACUUUCUGAAGGAUGUCAAGUUUGAAGACCUAAAUGAUGUGAAGUUUGAAGACAUUGAAGUAAGUGAAGACCAAAGGACUUCUACGUGGUAUAAUUGGUUGAAGAGUGAGUAUACAACAUUGGAGUGUCAAAUUACUAAUCUUAGAUUGUGCUGGAAUUCUCAUCAACAUGAAAUGGAGACAUGAAGACUUAUUUACAAAUGAUUGACAGAAAAUUGUUUAAAGAAAGUUGUACUGUGGAAUUUAUUCGUUUUCUUUUUCCCCCUUUUGAUUACUGUUAUAUCAAAUUAUGGUUCAGUGGAUACUUUGUUUAUAGGAACACAAUAUAUUUUUAACUUGAUCGAAUAUAACCCGUGAGAAUCUGUCAUGCUCACAAUGGUGGCCAGCUAAUAUAUUGCAAAUUAUAAUCGGAAAUGAGCGAUUUGAUAUGUGUAGUUCUGAUUCGUCUAGUAUAAUUCCUUAAUAUGCUUAUUGAAAAGCAAAAGUGAUAUUCUUCUAAAAUUGUUCAAUUGUCACUAAUUUGUUGCUUAUAUAAACAUCAUUUUGCAUUCCAAUCAGUAGCUGCGCUAUCAUAACGUAUUGAUGUUUCUUCCAAUAUCUUGUACACGCCCCCUUUGGUAGUUGCCCUUUGGAAGUUGCCUUAUGAUUUUUUGUAGGAAGGAAAAAGUAGGAAGAAGAAUGUAAUAGUGGGACCAUGGGGAGGCAACGGUGGAAAUAGCUGGGAUGAUGGAAUCUUCACAGGGGUGAGAGAAAUCAAACUUGUUUAUGGCCAUUGCAUAGACUCAAUUCAGGUGGUUUAUGAUAGGAAUGGCAAGCCUUUCACAGCUGAAAAACAUGGAGGAGUUGGAGAUUAAGCUGCAAUUCCCAGAUGAGUUCUUGGUCAGUGUGAGCGGCCACUACUGUCCAGUUGUUCGCGGAGGCACCCCCGUGAUUCGGUCAUUGACAUUCAAGAGCAACCACAGAACCUUUGGACCAUAUGGAGUUGAAG